AGCAGCAGCCGCGGUAACACGAAGGGUGCAAGCGUUACUCGGAAUUACUGGGCGUAAAGCGUGCGUAGGUGGUUGUUUAAGUCUGCUGUGAAAGCCCUGGGCUCAACCUGGGAAUUGCAGUGGAUACUGGGCAACUAGAGUAAGGUAGAGGAUAGUGGAAUUUCCGGUGUAGCAGUGAAAUGCGUAGAGAUCGGAAGGAACAUCUGUGGCGAAGGCGACUAUCUGGGCCAUUACUGACACUGAGGCACGAAAGCGUGGGGAGCAAACAGGAUUAGAUACCCGGGUAGUCCCUGUCUCUUAUAA
rnacentral:rRNA from 1 species